CAGAGGGCGCGAGCGUUGUCCGGAAUCACUGGGCGUAAAGGGCGCGUAGGUGGCCACUAUAAGGCUGCGGUGAAAGUUCGGGGCUCAACCCCGAAUCUGCCGCGGCGACUGUAGGGCUUGGGCACUGUAGAGGCAGAUGGAAUUCCGGGUGUAGCGGUGGAAUGCGUAGAGAUCCGGAAGAACACCAGUGGCGAAGGCGGUCUGCUGGGCAGUGGGAGCGCAAGCUCCUCUUAGCCGACACUGAGGCGCGACAGCGUGGGGAGCAAACAGGAUUAGAUACCCUGGUAGUCCACGCCGUAAACGGUGGGCACUAGGUGCUUUGGGGAGCGACCCCCGGGGUACCGGCGCUAACGCAUGAAGUGCCCCGCCUGGGGAGUACGGCCGCAAGGCUG
rnacentral:rRNA from 1 species